GAUGAAGAACGUAGCUAAAUGCGAUACGUAAUGUGAAUUGCAGAAUUCAGUGAAUCAUCGAGUCUUUGAACGCACAUUGCGCCCCCUGGUAUUCCGGGGGGCAUGCCUGUCCGAGCGUCAUUGCUGCUCUCAAGCACGGCUUGUGUGUUGGGCCUCCGUCCUCCUCCCGGGGGACGGGCCCGAAAGGCAGCGGCGGCACCGCGUCCGGUCCUCGAGCGUAUGGGGCUUCGUCACCCGCUCUUGUAGGCCCGGCCGGCGCUUGCCGACACAUCAAUCUUUUUUCCAGGUUGACCUCGGAUCAGGUAGGGAUACCCGCUGAACUUAAGCAUAUCAAUAAGCGGAGGA
rnacentral:misc_RNA from 1 species